ACUUCACACAGCAAAUGACCACAGCAGUGCAUCACCUGUGAGAUCAUGAGAAGGCUGAAGUACCAGGAGUGACAAGAUAUCACCAGACGGUGGGGUACAGAAUUAAACCCAGGGACAGCAUUGGAACAAGGUUUACGGGGGAGAACAGACACCCAACAGAAAGAAAAGUUGAUCACUAAUGCACCAAGGAUCCAGCUGAUUACUGGCAAUUUGAGGAGAAUUGUUCUUUAUCUGCUACGUUGCACUGUCACUUCUGGUACAGAGUCAUUGAUUUUUUUUUUUUUUUUUUGUU